AACGAACGCUGGCGGCAUGCCUAACACAUGCAAGUCGAACGAGACCUUCGGGUCUAGUGGCGCACGGGUGCGUAACGCGUGGGAACCUGCCCGUAGGUUCGGAAUAACUCCCCGAAAGGGGUGCUAAUACCGGAUAAUGUCUUCGGACCAAAGAUUUAUCGCCUUUGGAUGGGCCCGCGUUGGAUUAGCUAGUUGGUAGGGUAAAAGCCUACCAAGGCGACGAUCCAUAGCUGGUCUGAGAGGAUGAUCAGCCACCCUGGGACUGGGACACGGCCCAGACUCCUACGGGAGGCAGCAGUGGGGAAUAUUGGACAAUGGGCGAAAGCCUGAUCCAGCAAUGCCGCGUGAGUGAUGAAGGCCUUAGGGUUGUAAAGCUCUUUUACCCGGGAUGAUAAUGACAGUACCGGGAGAAUAAGCUCCGGCUAACUCCGUG
rnacentral:rRNA from 1 species